UGCCAGACUCCUACGGGAGGCAGCAGUGGGGAAUAUUGCACAAUGGGGGAAACCCUGAUGCAGCGACGCCGCGUGAGUGAAGAAGUAUCUCGGUACGUAAAGCUCUAUCAGCAGGGAAGAAAAUGACGGUACCUGACCAAGAAGCCCCGGCUAACUACGUGCCAGCAGCCGCGGUAAUACGUAGGGGGCAAGCGUUAUCCGGAUUUACUGGGUGUAAAGGGAGCGUAGACGGCAUAGCAAGUCUGAAGUGAAAGCCCAAGGCUCAACCAUGGGACUGCUUUGGAAACUGCGGCGCUGGAGUACGGGAGGGGCAGGCGGAAUUCCUGGUGUAGCGGUGAAAUGCGUAGAUAUCAGGAGGAACACCGGCGGCGAAGGCGGCCUGCUGGACCGUGACUGACGUUGAGGCUCGAGAGCGUGGGGAGCAAACAGGAUUAGAUACCCCAGUA
rnacentral:rRNA from 1 species